rnacentral:rRNA from 1 species
CCUACGGGAGGCUGCAGUGAGGAAUAUUGGUCAAUGGGCGUAAGCCUGAACCAGCCAAGUCGCGUGAGGGAUGAAGGUUCUCUGGAUCGUAACCCUCUUUUAUAAGGGAAUAAAGUGCGGGACGUGUCCCGUUUUGUAUGUACCUUAUGAAUAAGGAUCGGCUAACUCCGUGCCAGCAGCCGCGGUAAUACGGAGGAUCCGAGCGUUACCCGGAUUUAUUGGGUUUAUAGGGUGCGUAGGCGGCAUUUUCAGUCAGCGGUGAAAGUUCGGGGCUCAACCAUAGAAUUGCCGGUGAAACUGGGAAGCUUGAGUAUGUUUGAGGCAGGCGGAAUGCGUGGUGUAGCGGUGAAAUGCUUAGAUAUCACGAAGAACCCCGAUGGCGAAGGCAGCCUG